rnacentral:rRNA from 1 species
GACGAACGCUGGCGGCGUGCUUAACACAUGCAAGUCGAACGGUGAAGCGCCUUCCUUUUUGGUGGGUGUGGAUGAGUGGCGAACGGGUGAGUAACACGUGAGUAACCUGCCCCCUUCUUCUGGAUAACCGCAUGAAAGUGUGGCUAAUACGGGAUAUUCUGGGUCUGUCGCAUGAUGGGUCUGGGAAAGAUAUUGUUUCGGUGGGGGAUGGGCUCGCGGCCUAUCAGCUUGUUGGUGGGGUGAUGGCCUACCAAGGCGGUGACGGGUAGCCGGCCUGAGAGGGUGGACGGUCACACAGGGACUGAGACACGGCCCAGACUCCUACGAGAGGCAGCAGUGGGGAAUAUUGCACGAUGGGCGCAAGCCUGAUGCAGCGACGCCGCGUGAGGGAUGGAGGCCUUCGGGUUGUGAACCUCUUUCGCCAGUGAAGCAGGCCUGCCUCGUUUGUGGGUGGGUUGACGGUAGCUGGAUAAGAAGCGCCGGCUAACUACGUG